rnacentral:rRNA from 1 species
AACGAACGCUGGCGGCAUGCCUAAUACAUGCAAGUCGAACGAGACCUUCGGGUCUAGUGGCGCACGGGUGCGUAACGCGUGGGAAUCUGCCCUUGGGUUCGGAAUAACAGUUAGAAAUGACUGCUAAUACCGGAUAAUGUCUUCGGACCAAAGAUUUAUCGCCCAGGGAUGAGCCCCGCGUAGGAUUAGCUAGUUGGUGAGGUAAAGGCUCACCAAGGCGACGAUCCUUAGCUGGUCUGAGAGGAUGAUCAGCCACACUGGGACUGAGACACGGCCCCAGACUCCUACGGGAGGCAGCAGUGGGGAAUAUUGGACAAUGGGCGAAAGCCUGAUCCAGCAAUACCGCGUGUGUGAAGAAGGCCUCGGUUGUAAGCACUUAAGUUAGGGUAAGGAAAAAGGAACGUUACUA